CUUGCUCCCCGGGUGACGAGUGCCGUACGGGUGAGUAAUGUCUGGGAAACUGCCCGGUGGAGGGGGAUAACUACUGGAAACGGUAGCUAAUACCGCAUAACGUCUUCGGACCAAAGUGGGGGAUCUUCGGACCUCACGCCACCGGAUGUGCCCAGAUGGGAUUAGCUGGUAGGUGGGGUAACGGCUCACCUAGGCGACGAUCCCUAGCUGGUCUGAGAGGAUGACCAGCCACACUGGAACUGAGACACGGUCCAGACUCCUACGGGAGGCAGCAGUGGGGAAUAUUGCACAAUGGGCGCAAGCCUGAUGCAGCCAUGCCGCGUGUAUGAAGAAGGCCUUCGGGUUGUAAAGUACUUUCAGCGGGGAGGAAGGCGGUGAGGUUAAUAACCUUGCCGAUUGACGUUACCCGCAGAAGAAGCACCGGCUAACUCCGUGCCAGCAGCCGCGGUAAUACGGAGGGUGCAAGCGUUAAUCGGAAUUACUGGGCGUAAAGCGCACGCAGGCGGUCUGUUAAGUCAGAUGUGAAAUCCCCGGGCUUAACCUGGGAACUGCAUUUGAGACUGGCAGGCUUGAGUCUCGUAGAGGGGGGUAGAAUUCCAGGUGUAGCGGUGAAAUGCGUAGAGAUCUGGA
rnacentral:rRNA from 1 species